rnacentral:rRNA from 1 species
GUGAGUGGCACCUGAGUACAACGGGACACGAGAAACCCUGUUGGAAGCUGGGAGGACCAUCUCCCAAGGCUAAAUACUACUUGGAGACCGAUAGUGAACCAGUACCGUGAGGGAAAGGUGAAAAGAACCCCCGCGAGGGGAGUGAAAAGUCUCUGAAACCGAAUGUCUACAAGCCGUGGAAGCACUAUGCCGCAAGGAAUGUGCGACCGCGUGCCUUUUGCAUAAUGAUCCUGCGAGUUACCGUGUCCGGCAAGGUUAAGUCGCUAGACGAAGCCGAAGCGAAAGCGAGUCUGAAUAGGGCGUCUAGUCGGAUGCGGUAGACCCGAAACCCGGCGAUCUAUCCAUGGGCAGGCUGAAGAGCGGGUAACACCGCUUGGAGGGCCGAACUCACUAUAGUUGAAAAUAUAGGGGAUGACCUGUGGAUCGGAGUGAAAGGCUAAUCAAGCUGGGUUAUAGCUGGUUUUCGCCGAAACAUAUUUAGGUAUGGCGUCCGAGGAAUUUCUGCUGCGGAGGUAAAGCACUGGAUGGGCUAGGGGUCCUACCAGAUUACCAAACCCAACCAAACUCUGAAUGCCGCAGACAGCGACCCGGGCAGACAGGCUAUGAGAGCUAAGUUCCAUGGCCAAAAGGGAAAGAGCCCAGAUCGUCAGCUAAGGUCCCCAAAUCAGUGCUAAGUGGGAAAGGAUGUGGAGGCACAUUGACAGCCAGGAGGUUGGCUUAGAAGCAGCCAUCCUUUAAAGAAAGCGUAAUAGCUCACUGGUCAAGUGAAUCUGCGCCGAAAAUGUAACGGGGCUUAAGCAUUGUACCGAAGCUACGGAUUGUAGAUAGGACUUCGGUCCUAACGCAGUGGUAGGCGAACAUUCUCUGGACUGCGAAGGUCAACGGUAACGAUGGCUGGAGUGCAGAGAAGAGCUUAUGCAGGAUUGAGUAGCGAUAAAACAGGUGAGAAACCUGUUCGCCGUAAGCCCAAGGGUUCCUGGGUCAAGUUAAUCUUCCCAGGGUUAGUCGGUCCCUAAGCCGAGGCCGAAAGGCGUAGGUGAUGGGAAUCAGGUUAAUAGUCCUGAACCACAUUGGAUGGUUUCUACAGGAGGGACGGAGAAAGGCGGUCGAGCCGGAUAUUGGAUACCGGUUCAAGCCCGUAGGAGGGCUCUCUAGGAGGCCUAGUGCCACAAACGGAGAGUCAACUCUGAGAGGUAAUGAGGAGAGCGCUUGCG